AUAGCCUAACGGGUCAUUACAUUAUCUACUUCUAAAAAUUAUGUUUGUCCCGAACAUAAAAAAGGAGAAUAAGAAGCAACGACAUUUACAAAAACUUGAGUUAUUACCUAAUAGUCAAUAUUUAUAUUUUCAAGUGAGCUCAUCAUAAAGACUUUUCUAUCAAGAACAACUACUACGAACUGAACUUUUGAAUCAAAAUUUGAUAGAGAUACAAAAUCAAGAGUGAUUAUAAUGUCAUAGACUAACUCAUGAAUUCAAUCAAUAUCGAAGCUUUCCAGGAGUUCUUUACCUGAAGAUGCAAAAUUACAUGUAAAUUGCUAUAGGACUAAACAAAUGGUUGCAAAACUUGGGCUAGGAUAUGAAAAGAUAGAUGUGUGUCAUACAGGUUCUAUCCUAUAUUACAAGGAUAAUAAAGACAAAAGAGAUUGUCUGAAGUGUGGCAAACCACGCUACAAGCCUAAGAGAAGACUCAGUGGAGGGCAACAAGAUGUUCCAUAUAAUGUACUCCGCUACCUUCCUAUAACUCCGAGGUGGUAGAGAUUAUAUAUGUCAACAAAGACAACUGAACAUAUGACAUGGCACAGGAAAUACCGUCAAGAACCUGGGGUAAUGAGUCAUCCAAGUGAUGGAGAGGCACGAGAGAAGUUUGAUCAGUGUCAUCCUAACAUUGCAAGCGAGCCUCGAAAUAUAAGACAUGGACUUGCAGCUGAUGGAUUUAGUCCUUAUGGGAAUACGACACACCCUUAUUCUUGUUGGCCAAUAAUCAUUACACCUUACAGUUUGCUACUCGAAAUGUGCAUAACUAUCCCUUAUUGUUCUUAAGUCUUCUCAUUAAGAAUAUAGAUAUAUAUUUAGAACCUCUUAUUGAUGAAUUAAAGAAAUUAUAAGUUGA